rnacentral:rRNA from 1 species
CUACGGGUCGCUGCAGGCGAGAAAACUUUGCAAUGUGCGAAAGCACGACAAGGUUAAUCCGAGUGGUUUGUGCUAAACGAACCUUUUGUUAGUCCUAGAAACACUAACGAAUAAGGGGUGGGCAAGUUCUGGUGUCAGCCGCCGCGGUAAAACCAGCACCUCAAGUGGUCAGGAUGAUUAUUGGGCCUAAAGCAUCCGUAGCCGGCUCUGUAAGUUUUCGGUUAAAUCUGUACGCUUAACGUACAGGCUGCCGGGAAUACUGCAUAGCUAGGAAGUGGGAGAGGUAGACGGUACUCGGUAGGAAGGGGUAAAAUCCUUUGAUCUAUUGAUGACCACCUGUGGCGAAGGCGGUCUACCAGAACACGUUCGACGGUGAGGGAUGAAAGCGUGGGGAGCAAACAGGAUUAGAUACCCUGGUAGUC